GUGGGAUACAAGCUGUUGUCAUGCAACAAAGAGCAAAGGGAGCUACAUUGCUUGCAGUUUGUCAGAGGAAAUGUAUCUUCAUGUAUCAUCUUGAAUUAUUGAUACUAUUGUUUUCAUCUCAUUUUGAAGAGGGUCAAAUGGGUGGCUUAACUGAUGCCCAAAGGGUGAGAAGAGAGAAAAUAAGUGAACGAUGAAGAUGUUGCUAGCCAUAAGUUUUUACAAAGUAUGACACACAUGGUGUAUGGGUUUUAUGAGACCUGAUAUGCAUAACAAAAUAAACUUGGGAAACUGAAAACAAAAUGGGUUAACCGAGGUUGCCAAAGUGCUACUUAGGGUGGAAGGAGUGUGUUCGGGGAAGCCUUCGGUAACCCCACUUUACCGUGCGGCAAGGGGAUGCCACCCCCAUUCGGUGUUCGGUGAUUGCCAAGACGGUGAAUAAUCACCGAAAGAGAAGAGAUAGAGGGGAAAGAGAGGGUUAAUGAUAUCACUGUGAUGUGACAGAUCAGAGACUUGCUCAACAUAUUGACAAAGGAAACGAAGAUGGAUUGCUCAUCAACAGUGUGGCUUUUUGAUCAAACCUAUGGGCUCUUAUAAUGGAUUCUUGCACUGGAUUAGAUUAUGCAACAGUGGGAGAAAUCCUGCUAUAUUAGUGUGAUAGCAUGUGCGAACAACGGGAGUUCUUUGGUUAAGGGUACCCAAUACAUUCAGCAGUGUUACAAAGUCAAUGAAUCAUUUUCUUUUUAGUGUAUAAAACUAUAAAUAAUAAAUGAAGAGAAAGGUUCCAUAUCACUGCUAUGGCAACUGCGAGAACCAGAUGGGCAAUUGUUAUGUCUUGUGGCGCUGGAUUCUCUGACCAGGUCAAAACAUUUUUUUAAAUAUAUGGUUUGUUAAACGUGAUUACAAAAAUCAUGCUAUAACUAUCAGGACCUUAGGGCAUUAGUGGCGACGACUGUCGCCGCUAAAGUAUUGGCAAUUGCGGCGACAUCUUUAGCGGCGAUUUUUUUAGCAAUAGCGACGGGGUAUUAGCAGCGACACAUUUGCGGCGAUAAGUCGCCGUUAAUACCUUUAGCGACGACAAUUUGGCUUAUCGUCGCAGCUUUUGCUCUGAUUUCUUGUAGUGUAUGCUAAUAGGCUUGUAUCUUGUUUGGCAGCUAAGGUAAUCGAUGCUCUACUUAUAUUAUAUAUCUUUCUUACUUUAAUUUGAUUUCCAUGCCUUUUUUUUGCAAGGACUUCGACAUUAGCUUCUAUGUGCAUUUUCGAGGUCUUGUAUGUUCUCAACACACUCAUGCAGACAUUUCAAAAUAAAGUGCUUGCUCAUGCUGCCCCAAGUUAGAUAAAAUGGUUUAAUGAUGUAUUAUGGACCUAUGAUAACAUUUAUAUUUUCAUGGUCAUAUCAAUGGUCAAGAUCCAACUCUUGAUUCUCUUGUUAAGAUGACAAGCCUUUUGAUUAUUUAUGAUUUUACUGCCUUGUAGUUUACAUUUGUUUCAUGUAUUAAUCA